UACGGGGGGGGCAAGCGUUGUUCGGAAUUACUGGGCGUAAAGGGCUCGUAGGUGGUCAACUAAGUCGGACGUGAAAUCCCUCGGCUUAACCGGGGAACUGCGUCCGAUACUGGAUGACUUGAGUUCGGGAGAGGUGAGUGGAACUGCGAGUGUAGAGGUGAAAUUCGUAGAUAUUCGCAAGAACACCAGUGGCGAAGGCGGCUCACUGGCCCGGUACUGACGCUGAGGUGCGAAAGCGUGGGGAGCAAACAGG
rnacentral:rRNA from 1 species